AUAUCAAUAAGCGGAGGAAAAGAAACCAACAGGGAUUGCCUCAGUAACGGCGAGUGAAGCGGCAACAGCUCAAAUUUGAAAUCUGGCUCUUUCAGGGUCCGAGUUGUAAUUUGUAGAAGAUGCUUCGGGUGUGGCUCCGGUCUAAGUUCCUUGGAACAGGACGUCAUAGAGGGUGAGAAUCCCGUAUGUGACUGGGUGCCUUCGCUCAUGUGAAGCUCUUUCGACGAGUCGAGUUGUUUGGGAAUGCAGCUCAAAAUGGGUGGUAAAUUUCAUCUAAAGCUAAAUAUUGGCCAGAGACCGAUAGCGCACAAGUAGAGUGAUCGAAAGAUGAAAAGCACUUUGGAAAGAGAGUUAAACAGUACGUGAAAUUGUUGAAAGGGAAGCGCUUGCAACCAGACUUGCGCGCGGCCGAUCAUCCGGUGUUCUCACCGGUGCACUCGGCCGUGCUCAGGCCAGCAUCGGUUUUGGCGGCUGGAUAAAGGCCCUAGGAAUGUAGCUCCUCUCGGGGAGUGUUAUAGCCUAGGGUGCAAUGCAGCCUGCUGGGACCGAGGACCGCGCUUCGGCUAGGAUGCUGGCGUAAUGGUUGUAAGCGG
rnacentral:rRNA from 1 species